UGUAAACGCAACACUUUCGGUUUUGCUUCCAUUUUGCAUGAGCUAAACUCAAAGAUCUGAAACAUUUUCUACAUACACAAAAGACCCAUUACUCUCAUUGUUCACAAAUCUGUCUAAAUAUGUGUUGGUGAGCACUUCUACUUUGCCGAGAUAAUCCAUCCCACCUCACAGGUGUGGCAUAUCAAGGUGCUGAUUAGACAGCAUGAAUAUUGCACAGGUGUGCCUUAGACUUCCCACGGUGAAAAGC